rnacentral:rRNA from 1 species
GGAAAGGCGCGCGAUACAGGGUGACAGCCCCGUACACAAAAAUGCACAUGCUGUGAGCUCGAUGAGUAGGGCGGGACACGUGGUAUCCUGUCUGAAUAUGGGGGGACCAUCCUCCAAGGCUAAAUACUCCUGACUGACCGAUAGUGAACCAGUACCGUGAGGGAAAGGCGAAAAGAACCCCGGCGAGGGGAGUGAAAAAGAACCUGAAACCGUGUACGUACAAGCAGUGGGAGCACAGAGCAAUCUGUGUGACUGCGUACCUUUUGUAUAAUGGGUCAGCGACUUAUAUUCUGUAGCAAGGUUAACCGAAUAGGGGAGCCGAAGGGAAACCGAGUCUUAACUGGGCGUUAAGUUGCAGGGUAUAGACCCGAAACCCGGUGAUCUAGCCAUGGGCAGGUUGAAGGUUGGGUAACACUAACUGGAGGACCGAACCGACUAAUGUUGAAAAAUUAGCGGAUGACUUGUGGCUGGGGGUGAAAGGCCAAUCAAACCGGGAGAUAGCUGGUUCUCCCCGAAAGCUAUUUAGGUAGCGCCUCGUGAAUUCAUCUCCGGGGGUAGAGCACUGUUUCGGCAAGGGGGUCAUCCCGACUUACCAACCCGAUGCAAACUGCGAAUACCGGAGAAUGUUAUCACGGGAGACACACGGCGGGUGCUAACGUCCGUCGUGAAGAGGGAAACAACCCAGACCGCCAGCUAAGGUCCCAAAGUCAUGGUUAAGUGGGAAACGAUGUGGGAAGGCCCAGACAGCCAGGAUGUUGGCUUAGAAGCAGCCAUCAUUUAAAGAAAGCGUAAUAGCUCACUGGUCGAGUCGGCCUGCGCGGAAGAUGUAACGGGGCUAAACCAUGCACCGAAGCUGCGGCAGCGACGCUGAUGCGUUGUUGGGUAGGGGAGCGUUCUGUAAGCCUGUGAAGGUGUGCUGUGAGGCAUGCUGGAGGUAUCAGAAGUGCGAAUGCUGACAUAAGUAACGAUAAAGCGGGUGAAAAGCCCGCUCGCCGGAAGACCAAGGGUUCCUGUCCAACGUUAAUCGGGGCAGGGUGAGUCGACCCCUAAGGCGAGGCCGAAAGGCGUAGUCGAUGGGAAACAGGUUAAUAUUCCUGUACUUGGUGUUACUGCGAAGGGGGGACGGAGAAGGCUAUGUUGGCCGGGCGACGGUUGUCCCGGUUUAAGCGUGUAGGCUGGUUUUCCAGGCAAAUCCGGAAAACUAAGGCUGAGGCGUGAUGACGAGGCACUACGGUGCUGAAGCAACAAAUGCCCUGCUUCCAGGAAAAGCCUCUAAGCAUCAGGUAACAUCAAAUCGUACCCCAAACCGACACAGGUGGUCAGGUAGAGAAUACCAAGGCGCUUGAGAGAACUCGGGUGAAGGAACUAGGCAAAAUGGUGCCGUAACUUCGGGAGAAGGCACGCUGAUAUGUAGGUGAAGUCCCUCGCGGAUGGAGCUGAAAUCAGUCGAAGAUACCAGCUGGCUGCAACUGUUUAUUAAAAACACAGCACUGUGCAAACACGAAAGUGGACGUAUACGGUGUGACGCCUGCCCGGUGCCGGAAGGUUAAUUGAUGGGGUCAGCGCAAGCGAAGCUCUUGAUCGAAGCCCCGGUAAACGGCGGCCGUAACUAUAACGGUCCUAAGGUAGCGAAAUUCCUUGUCGGGUAAGUUCCGACCUGCACGAAUGGCGUAAUGAUGGCCAGGCUGUCUCCACCCGAGACUCAGUGAAAUUGAACUCGCUGUGAAGAUGCAGUGUACCCGCGGCAAGACGGAAAGACCCCGUGAACCUUUACUAUAGCUUGACACUGAACAUUGAGCCUUGAUGUGUAGGAUAGGUGGGAGGCUUUGAAGUGUGGACGCCAGUCUGCAUGGAGCCGACCUUGAAAUACCACCCUUUAAUGUUUGAUGUUCUAACGUUGACCCGUAAUCCGGGUUGCGGACAGUGUCUGGUGGGUAGUUUGACUGGGGCGGUCUCCUCCUAAAGAGUAACGGAGGAGCACGAAGGUUGGCUAAUCCUGGUCGGACAUCAGGAGGUUAGUGCAAUGGCAUAAGCCAGCUUGACUGCGAGCGUGACGGCGCGAGCAGGUGCGAAAGCAGGUCAUAGUGAUCCGGUGGUUCUGAAUGGAAGGGCCAUCGCUCAACGGAUAAAAGGUACUCCGGGGAUAACAGGCUGAUACCGCCCAAGAGUUCAUAUCGACGGCGGUGUUUGGCACCUCGAUGUCGGCUCAUCACAUCCUGGGGCUGAAGUAGGUCCCAAGGGUAUGGCUGUUCGCCAUUUAAAGUGGUACGCGAGCUGGGUUUAGAACGUCGUGAGACAGUUCGGUCCCUAUCUGCCGUGGGCGCUGGAGAACUGAGGGGGGCUGCUCCUAGUACGAGAGGACCGGAGUGGACGCAUCACUGGUGUUCGGGUUGUCAUGCCAAUGGCACUGCCCGGUAGCUAAAUGCGGAAGAGAUA